CAGAACAGCCUGGAGGCAGCUGCUAUGGGAAGUCCCUGUGGUUUCAGUGGAUCCGGGAAACUGCGUCACUAGAGUGUGGGCUCCCUGGGGAAGGGAGGAGCCUUUCCUGGAGGAAGAACUUUCAAUAACCCUUCUGCUGUGUCCCCUGUCUCCAUGGAAAUGGCUGAGGCCCAAACAAAGUCAGCUUUCUUGGGGAAGGGAGGGCUGACCCAUCAGCAAAGAGUCUCAGCUAUGUGCUGUGGCAUUUCAACAAGGAACCAUGUCACUGGCAUCCCAUCUGGGUGAGGGGAGUGGCUAGGGUAAUUAGCUGGCAGCCAAGGGCAGGCCGGCUGGGAGGGUCUAAGAACAAGACUCAGUGUCCAGACUGCAAGAGACUUCAGAGUUCAUCUGGGACGCAGGAGGGACAGGACUUGCCCAAGGCCACACACCAGUCUCAGGUCUUGCCUUAGGCAUUGCUCCUUCUGGAAAGCACCCGACCCCACCCCUGUUCUGCAGGGCUGUGUCAGGUAUGCCUCUGUGAUUUGAUUUAUCUUAUUAAUUAUCAUCCUGUCCUCUAAUUGAUUAUUUGUCUGUUUCCUCCUCUAGAUUGCAAGCUUCUGCAAAGAUAUGGAACUUAUUUGUUUUACUCACUGUCCUGUCUCCAAGUAUUUAAUAUAACAGAGACUUACUGAAUAUUGGAAUGGAUGAAUGAAAAUCGUGUCUAGCACAGUGUCAUACUGAUUGCAGAUGAGUUAACUAAAAAGUUAACAUUUACUAGAAGAUGGUAUUUCUUCAUUGUGGUUUGGCCUGAUUUUAUUGGUGGAUCCUGCUGACAACGUUAUAUACUAAUAUUAAAAUGAUAGGCUGAGCAUGGUAGCUCACACUUCUAAUCCCAGGACUUUGGGAGGACAAGGUGGGAGGGUUGUUUGAGCUCAGGAGUUUGAGACCAGCCUGGAUAAUGUAGUGAGAUUCCGUCUCCCAAGGCAAAACAAACCCAAAAGGGGAGCAUAUUAUUGCUCUUUUAAAUAUAUGCCCUGACUAUGAUGUUGCUACAAAAAUAAGCCUGAUCUGGAAGGAGACAGAACCAGUUUUCAGUCCUGAUUCUCUCCUUCCUGGUUGUAUUGGUUGGUUAAUCUCUUUGAGCCUCAAAUCCUUGAGUAGAAAAAUGGGAAUAAUAUAACCUGCCUUGUGGGUUCUAUGUAAUAAGUGAAUGAAAUAAUAUCUGAAAGGCACUUAGUAUGGGGGCUGGCAAAAAUAAGUACUUAAAAAUGUUAGUCAUGAUUAGUAUUAC
rnacentral:lncRNA from 13 species